CGUAGGGUGCGAGCGUUAAUCGGAAUUACUGGGCGUAAAGCGUGCGCAGGCGGUUAUGUAAGACAGGUGUGAAAUCCCCGGGCUUAACCUGGGAACUGCAUUUGUGACUGCAUAGCUAGAGUACGGUAGAGGGGGAUGGAAUUCCGCGUGUAGCAGUGAAAUGCGUAGAUAUGCGGAGGAACACCGAUGGCGAAGGCAAUCCCCUGGACCUGUACUGACGCUCAUGCACGAAAGCGUGGGGAGCAAACAGGAUUAGAUACCCUGGUAGUCCACGCCCUAAACGAUGUCAACUGGUUGUUGGGUCUUCACUGACUCAGUAACGAAGCUAACGCGUGAAGUUGACCGCCUGGGGAGUACGGCCGCAAGGUUG
rnacentral:rRNA from 1 species